GCGCGGUUCCGCAGGUGGCAGCGAUGGCCCGGUCCUGAGCGCCCCGCCAUGGCCCGCGCCCCCAGCCCGCUCUGCCUGGCGCUGCUGCUGCUCGGGGCGGUGGGCAGGGCCGGCCCCCGCCCCCAGGGUGCCACCGUGUCCCUCUCCGAGACAGUGCAGAAAUGGCGAGAAUACCGACACCAGUGCCAGCGCUUCCUGACUGAGGCCCCACCCCCGGCCACGGCCCUGUUUUGCAAUCGGACCUUCGAUGAGUAUGCCUGCUGGCCAGAUGGACUACCGGGCUCCUUUGUGAAUGUCAGCUGCCCCUGGUACCUGCCCUGGGCCAGCAGUGUGCUGCAGGGCCGCGUGUAUCGAUUCUGCACGGCCGAGGGCCUGUGGCUGCGCCAGGACAACUCGAGCGCCCCCUGGAGGAACCUGUCAGAGUGUGAGGAGUCCAAGCAAGGGGAGAGAAGCUCCCCAGAGCAGCAGCUCCUGUCCUUUUCCAUCAUCUAUACGGUGGGCUACACACUGUCCUUCUCCGCUCUGGUCAUCGCCUCGGCCAUCCUCCUGAGCUUCAGACACCUGCACUGCACCCGAAACUACAUCCACCUGAACCUGUUCGCGUCCUUCAUCCUGCGAGCGCUGUCCGUCUUCAUCCGGGACGCGGUCCUCAAGUGGAUGUACAGCACGGCCCCCCAGCAGCACCAGUGGGACGGGCUCCUCUCCUACCAGGACUCUCUGGGCUGCCGCCUGGUGUUCCUGCUUAUGCAGUACUGCGUGGCGGCCAAUCACUACUGGCUCCUGGUGGAGGGCGUGUACCUGUACGCGCUGCUGGCCUUCUCUGUCUUCUCCGAGCAGCGCGUCUUCAGGCUCUACCUGGGCCUAGGCUGGGGUGUUCCCCUGCUGUUUGUUAUUCCUUGGGGUAUUGUCAAGUACCUCUAUGAGGAUGAGGGCUGCUGGACCAGGAACUCCAACAUGAAUUACUGGCUCAUUAUCCGGCUGCCCAUUCUCUUUGCCAUUGGGGUGAACUUCCUCAUCUUUAUCCGGGUCAUCUGCAUUGUGGUGUCCAAACUCAAAGCCAAUGUCAUGUGCAAGACGGACAUCAAGUGCAGACUUGCCAAGUCCACACUGACGCUCAUCCCCCUGCUGGGGACCCACGAGGUGGUCUUUGCCUUUGUGAUGGAUGAGCACGCCCGGGGGACGCUGCGUUUCAUCAAGCUGUUCACAGAGCUCUCCUUCACCUCCUUCCAGGGGCUGAUGGUUGCCAUCUUGUACUGUUUUGUCAACAAUGAGGUCCAGAUGGAGUUUCGGAGGAGCUGGGAGCGCUGGCGGCUCAAGCACUUGCACAUCCAAAGGGACAGCAGCAUGAAGCCCCUCAAGUGCCCCACCAGCAGCCUGAGCAGUGGGGCCACGGCGGGCAGCAGCGUGUACGCAGCCACCUGCCAGGCCUCCUGCAGCUAAGACCCCAGCACCUGCCCUCCCUAUGGUCUCGCUGCUGGCGGGCUGGCCAUCCCAGUGGCAGGAGGAGAGAAAAACCGAUUGCUGCUAAACCGAGGAGGAUUUCUUCCCGUGAAGCCACCAGGCCCCUGGGGAACCCCAAGACAGAGCAGCAAAUCAGCCCUAGACUCACACUCAAGGUCAACGGCUUAUUAGCGGGAUUGGGGCGUGCCAGAGGAGAUGGUUCUGAAAGAGGCUCAUAUAACCUCAGACAAACAGAGCAUAGGGAACGCGAAUCAACUCUGCUUGCCUCUGGUUGGGUCACCGCCGCCCCCACCUCCUCAUGAAGGGACACUGUUCCCAUGACUGCAUUGCUGGUUCAUCUUGCCCCCCCAUCUCACCACCCAGCUUCUCUGUGGGGGCUUCGCUUGGGUCACGACCAGCAGCUAUUUCUAGAAAUGGCUGUGGAUGCUGUUGAGCAUGAAUGCUGAGAAGGUGCCUGACGGUUUCCUUUGCUGGUGCCUACUUCUCCCGUGGGUAUCUGACCUGCCUAGGUGUCUGCUGCCACUGUGCCCAGGGAACCAGGACAGGGCCUACUGCCCAGGAGCCCAGCUCUCAGAGUGAGCUCUGAAUUCUAUUCUAGAGAUGCUCCAGAAUCCUCUGGGGUUCAAUGAGGGAACUUCAGGAAUGCUUUCACUGGGGGUAUAGUGUACCUGCAACUGUUGGGAACCCAGAGGGCCGAGAGCUUUACUUCCACCUCUCUGGGGACAGGUUUUUUAUUUGUGACCAGAUUAUGUAUCUUACAUGGGAAUUUAGGUGUGCCCUCUUAACUUUAAGAGACUUCUGGGGGAAACUACCAGUUGCUACUGUUACCACGGAGGCAGUCUUCCCCUAUCCUUGGUUUCUUCUCCUUGAAAGUCCCCCACUUGGGAGCUUGUAUAUACUUGGUUCAUUUUUCUUUAUUGCUGUGAACAGUCUGCAUGUGCAAAUGUGUGAUUCUGAUUUCUCCCACCUGCUGGAAAAAAAGAACAAAACCAUUGUGAUUGUGGUGGUGUUGGGGGGAGGGGGUAGUAAUGGAUUUGACUCAGCCACAGUUAGAGAUCAUCAGUGUUUUCCCUGCCUCCAGUUUCACCCCAUAAUCAGUGAGCAGCAGACAGGCUACAUAGGGGAAACCCAGAUAGAAGGGAGACAGCCAUCCCAGGGAGGCUGGCGAUGGAGUUUGUGGAUGCAAAGGAAGUUUCCAGAGUAGGAGAGAGAGUCCAGACCUUCUAGGAAGGCAGAGAAAGAAGCUUUGGGUGAAUUCCUUUAUGGGUCCCUUUCUCCCUCCUCCUCCUUUUUAAGUGCUGGAAGACCCUCCCCCAAACCUUGCACCAGACACAUUUUCCUGUGCCUCUCAGAGAGGCAUGUGAUGUACAGGGGAAAUAAUAAUGGGACAUAAAACACAUCAAGCAGAAAAUUUCUUAUACUUCAGCUUCAGUGAGGUGUUGUGUCUAUGUUAAUGGGGAACUUGAACCUCAGGCUAAAGAAUUGUGCAGACUGGCUCCUGGAGAAAAUGUAGAGAGGUGGGGGAGAGGGGCACCCCUACUUCCCCAGAAUGAGGAAGGAUUUUCCAACACGCUCCACUCCUUGGCUUUCUCUUUAGAGGAGGAGGGGGAGAUGAGCACCCAUGAGUUGAUGUGGGGUACAGCUCCAGUGCCAGUGUUUCAGUUUUGGAUAAACUGGAAGAUUUCAAGAAUCAUUAAUACACUGCACAGCAAAAAAAAAAAACAAAAAAAAAAAAAAAAAAAAAAAAAAAA